GAUAAACAUAGCAGUUUCUCUGAAACUAUGUUUAUAAAAGAAUGGGUUAACCCUAGCUGGACCUGGCACCCAGACCACUUCAUUAAGCUGAAGUGGUCUGGGUGCCUAGAGUGGUCCUUUAACAUUUUUCAGACUGGUUAUGAUGCCUUUGAGACCAUAUGGUAGUCAACGAAUGAAAAUUACCCCCAGGAUGGCAUACCAUUUGCAAAAGUACACAACCUAAGGUAUUGCAAAUGGGGUCUGUACAGUCUUUUCUAGUAGCCACUUAGUCAAAAACAUUGGCCAUAGUUGGUGCUCAUAUUUAUGUGUGAAAAAUGCAAAAAACAUAUGAAUGCCAACUUUAAUUCAAGCCUUAUAUUUAACUCUAACUUUUUAAAACACUAUAAAACCUGUACCUGAACACUAACAUUAGUGUUUCAAAACAGUAAAAUGUGUCACAAUAAUUUCAUCAGUGAAAAUGCACAAAAAAAAAAACCAAGCACUUUCACAGACGAUCUUAUCAUAAGGUUUUUACUUGCAAACUAAAUUCAAAUUUCUGGGUUGUCAGGCAGGUCCUCAAACUGUGGUCAAUAAAAUUACUUAAG